UAUUAGCCCCUUGUCAGUUGUAUGGUUUGUAAAUGUUUUCUUCCAUUCUGGAGGUUGUCUCUUCACUAUGUUGAUUUUUAUUGGUUGCCUUUGAGGUGAAGGAG